UCUGGCUGCAAAAGCAACCGCACCCGAGUGCGAGUGUUGAAUAUUGUCCAAUCUCGGAAGCUAAGCAGGGCUGUGCCUGGUUAGUACUUGGAUGGGGGACCAACUUGGAAGACCAGGAACUGCUAGCC
rnacentral:rRNA from 12 species